rnacentral:rRNA from 1 species
UACGUAGGGACCGAGCGUUGUCCGGAUUCAUUGGGCGUAAAGAGCUCGUAGGCGGCUGUUCAAGUCGAACGUGAAAACUCGGAGCUCAACUCCGAGCCUGCGUUCGAUACUGGACGGCUAGAGUCUGGUAGGGGGAUCUGGAAUUCCUGGUGUAGCGGUGGAAUGCGCAGAUAUCGAGAGGAACACCUGCGGCGAAGGCGGGUUGCUGGGCCGACACUGACGCUGAUGCGCGAAAGCCAGGGGAGCGAACGGG